rnacentral:rRNA from 1 species
UGCCAGCAGCCGCGGUAACACGGAAGGGGCAAGCGUUGUUCGGAUUUAUUGGGCGUAAAGGGCGUGUAGGCGGCAAUACAAGUCUGGUGUGAAAUAUUCCGGCUCAACCGGAAAGACGCGCUGGAAACUGUAUUGCUUGAGUUUAGGAGGGGGAGCUGGAAUUCCUGGUGUAGGGGUGAAAUCUGUAGAGAUCAGGAAGAACACCGGAGGCGAAGGCGAGCUCCUGGCCAUAGACUGACGCUGAGGCGCGAAAGCGUGGGGAGCGAACAGGAUUAGAUA